rnacentral:tmRNA from 1 species
GGGGAUGACGGGUUUCGACAGGGCAGGGAAGCUCGCGGUUGCAGGCCGAGCUGCCGGUAUGCUGGCUCGCUAAACCACCGGCAACAAUAUUAACUGCCAACACGCAGUUUGCUCUCGCUGCCUAAUUAGCUGGUAGCGCGUCCGCCCGCGGUCCACCUUCGACGGACUCGGGAUGGAUGUCAUAACAGUCGAGGUGCAGCAGUUCCGAGGCUCAUAGGGGCUGCCCAAGAAGAAUGAGCUGGCGCUGACGGGCGUUGGUCCUCUUCCCCCACAGCGUGACAACAAAAGAGGUCUACGCUUGUAGAAGCCGCUGGCCGCCCUGUGUUGGACGGGGCGUUCGACUCGCCCCCAUCUCCACCA